rnacentral:rRNA from 1 species
CGCGAUAAGAACAACACUAUUGCGCACGUGCUCAAUUCAUCCCCGCCGAACAUUUCGUUUAGGCGGGACUUGAUUGGCCCCAGACUUCUGUCAUGGCAUAAUCUUUUGUCCCGGUUGGAUUUGAUUAACCUGACACAAGGUCGGGAUGUGUUUCGCUGGAAUCUUACUACAUCGGGGUCUUUCACAGUACUCUAUGUAUCGUGCGCUCACACAUUCUGA